CUGAAGGGCACGGUGAAGGUGGCAGCGUGUCCCUCCCAUUUCCCUGCCCUGUGUAACAGGGAUUUUAUGGGCACCGCUGCCUGCCAAAGCUUCUCAGUCCUUAAGAAAAGGAAUCCUGCAAGUGUGACCAGCUGGGAGAUGCUGUCAGGCUCACGCACAUCCCUUCAUCCCAAUGGAUCAGUCCCGCUGGGGAGAGCCCUCCAAAUCAUUCCCUGGGGAAGGCACUGGGCAUCCUUCAGUCACCUUUCCCUGGUGAGUGAGGAAUCACCUUCUGAGGCAAGGCUGGGACUGAGCUGGAGCAGGAGGACCGUCCCUGCCACAUCCUGGCAAACCUGCAGCACCAACAUCCACUCCUUGAGCAGAGUCCUCUUUGUCUCCCAGGAAAGCAGAAGGAAUGGGAGUUGCUGCUUCUCCAAAAUUCAGCCUUGCCCUGUGAUGAUCCAUCCCUUCAUCCCAGUGAUGGAAUGGCUGCAGCCAGACGUGCCAGGGAGCCCUGAGCCCAUGAUGUGACAGCCCAACCAGACUUGGAAACCACAUCUCUGGAGGUGUCAUAGACAACUCUGAGCAAGGUGCCCUUAAUGAACAGGCAUCAUGGAACUGGGAUUGCUGAAUCACCCUGAAAAAAUUCAGAGUAUUGAGAUCUCCACAUAUAAUCACAGAUUGAUUUGAGAUGGAAGAGACCUUAGAGAUCACCUAGUUCCAAAUCCCUGCUAUGAACAUCUUCACAUCCAAUAGUGUCUGCAGUCUCUGAAGAUGUAAUAGGACUGGAAAACUAAUCUCGGAACCGUUUUUCAAAGCAAAACACACCUAGGAUUUACUCAGGACCUGAUCCAAACU